CCUACGGGAGGCUGCAGUGGGGAAUAUUGGACAAUGGGCGAAAGCCUGAUCCAGCCAUGCCGCGUGUGUGAAGAAGGCCUUCGGGUUGUAAAGCACUUUCAGUGGGGAAGAAAGCCUUGGGGCUAAUACCCUCGAGGAAGGACAUCACCCACAGAAGAAGCACCGGCUAACUCCGUGCCAGCAGCCGCGGUAAUACGGAGGGUGCGAGCGUUAAUCGGAAUUACGGGGCGUAAAGCGCGCGUAGGCGGUCUGAUAAGCCGGUUGUGAAAGCCCCGGGCUCAACCUGGGAACGGCAUCCGGAACUGUCAGGCUAGAGUGCAGGAGAGGAAGGUAGAAUUCCCGGUGUAGCGGUGAAAUGCGUAGAGAUCGGGAGGAAUACCAGUGGCGAAGGCGGCCUUCUGGACUGACACUGACGCUGAGGUGCGAAAGCGUGGGUAGCAAACAGGAUUAGAUACCCUAGUAGUC
rnacentral:rRNA from 1 species